AAUCAAAAGUAUACAAACAAUUCUUGUCCACUCACCAUACAUAAAAAAACAAGGAAUUGUUUGUUUGAAGACCAGAGCGCAAAAUUGCUUAACUAAUCCAUCAAAUUCUCUUACACUUAAAUAGUACAACUGGUAAAAUACAGGCAGGUGAUUGCUCUCAUGCCUGGCAACAAGAAGCAAAGAUCAUCAAGGCACUUCUGGUAUUCCCAGCAGAAACCGCCUAUGACUUUCACAAGAGCCCAUGUAAAAUUGGCAAAGCUCCUUCAAGAUUCGUGCAGUUCAAUUAAACGCUACUCGCACUCAAAUAUCACUUUGGAAUUUAGAACUGGUCGUUGUCAGUAGCAAUAAAUACUGGACGGGUUCCAUUCAAAAGGCUUUCUUCUCAUGUGAAGUCAGUCCAUGAACUCCACCCUCAACUUGGGCUGCUGCUGUCCGUACCUAUAGCAAGCCAGAGGAAUAAGGUCAAACACCGUAUCGACAAAAAAUAAAAGAGCAAAGUUCACACAUGACUUCAGCAAGCAUGAGUAAUAAGCGGACAAUCAAGGGCAUGAUGAACCACUUCUAGUAUGUGAGACCUGGGGAUGCAAGUAUGAUACACGACCUAUUGCCAAUGAAUCAAAACACUUACCCUUAAUCCCUUCAUAUACACCCCCCCUGGCCCUCCUGACAAUUCAGAUUAUGUUAUUGAUGCGUUGCCCUGUACUAGAGCUGUUUUGGUUGAUUUGCAAUGGUAGUAGCGAUUUUAAUCAUUUAGGAUGGUUUAUGCCUCUACAUAGGAGGCUAACUUCAAAUGUUCGACCAGCAAGCUAUAAAAAACGUAUAUUUACACAUAUUCUGAUGGAUAAAGACUUUAGCUUCAAGCACAGAGUCACAGAUUAUUUUCACACAUCAAAAACUACCAAAUUAUCCCGAUACCAGAAGUAUAAGAAAGCCAUCCGUACCCCAAGCCUAAGUGUCUUUGACCUUAACAAAUCAUGAGCAGAGUGCAACGAGGAAGCACCAAGAUCCUGGAACCCUUGCUUUACUGCUUGCAUAGUGUAAGGUACUAACUUCAAAACAGAACCUUUAUCAGCAACUGCUCCUACAACUCCCUGAGCAAUCUUUAGCUUAGCAGUAUCACCCAGGUAUCUUUGAUCACUCCCUUUAGUCAUUGCUUCAAGGGAGCCAAUGCCACGAUAUUUUUUAACCCGGCAUUUUUUCUGGUAUGGAAAAUUGUUAGAAUUCGCAGAAUUGAAACUGCAUCUAGAGCCAAUGAAUGUAUCCAGUCAUAUUUUGUCAUUAAGCAAGAAUAAAAAUGAUCACAAAAUAAUUUGGCAUGUUACUGGUAUAAAACCGUAAAUCACAAGCAUGCUGCAUUAGUGUCUGAAUAUUCAUAUAUUAUUAAGUACACACAUCAGCUGACAUGUUCAUGAGACUGCCUUACUAACAUAACAUGUUAUGUCCAUUAUAAUUCAUAAGUGCAUUCCCAAAUAAUCCAAUGCUAACCAAUGUUAACAAAUGCACACAAACAACAAUUUUUCAUUUUUUAGUAAUGUUCAGGUUCACUUAGCUAUCUAUUCUGAACACCAACCUUACCUUUAAGGCAUACAAUUUCCGUAAAAGGACAGGUUAAAAGAUGAGGAUUACCUCAGCUACAGAAGAUUAUCUUGACAAGAUAGUCUCCUAAUAAGAUUUCUUAACAAUUAGAAAAACCUUUAUUUAUGAAGUUUCAAACUUCGAGGUUAUUUUUGAGUUCCCUGUCCAAAAUCUUGCACAGCUUUAUUGCCUCCGCCAAUGAAAAAACAUCGAAAAUGAUAAAUCGGAGAGGAAAUACUGGAUUGGCCACAGGGAUGAUAGUGGUUGCUUUUACUUUUUUGUUAAUACGUAAUCUUCUUAAUUCAAGGAAAUAAUUCCAAACGAACAAAAGUGUGAAAAGGAAGGUUGUAAAAAACCCACUUUCAAGAAAGAUGCUUGAAGAAACCACCUAAAAGACUAGUUUUCAUUGCCAUUUAGCCAUGGCGUACCUUCUAAUCGUACUCAUAAGCCCCAGGAGCUUCAGUACUUCCGGCUAAAAAGCUUCCCAUCAUUACAGUAGACGCCCCAUGCACCAGGGCCUUGACAAUAUGCCCUGAGAAUGAAAUACCACCAUCUGCAAUAACAGGAAUGCCACUUUGUGCGGCAAUGGAUGAAACCUUGUAAACAGCAGUUGCCUGGGAAGUUGCAAUGCAAGAAAAACAACUUUCAGUGUGGAGAAAAGGAUGGGAUGUGCAAAUUAUCCUAACUAUUCACACGAAAUCAUUCACUUUGGAGUUCAGUGCUCUGUUACAGAAAUCCAUAUGCAAGGUUGUGCUGGAACUCCUUUUCUCUUGGCAUUUUUAGAUUCUUGCAUACUAAUAACAACAAAGAUAAUGUUUUCAAGUAAAAUGGUUGGUGUUGUACUACCAGCCAGCAUCCAAACGAAGUAAGAACAUGAUACCAUUAACAGAUGAAGUCCUUUACCUGUCCUCGACCAACUGCACAAACCUCUUGUGUGGUGCAUAUGGACCCAGACCCCAUACCAACUCUCAACCCAUCUACACGCCUUGAUCAAAUUCUGUGCUUGACUCAUUGUCACCACAUUCCCACCGAUCACAUCCAGCUCCGGAUAGGUCUGUUUCACAUACUUAAUCAUCUCGACCUGAUAAACAGAAUUCCCUUGUGAACUAUCCAGCACAAUAACAUCAACCCCUGCUUUCACCAACCGCUCCAGCCUCUCCUUAUCCGACUCCCUUGUCCCAAUCGCCGCCACAACCAUCCACCUCCCGUCAGACCCCACCGUUCCCUUCCCUAACUUAGGAUAUCCCUUCACCCUGUCAACCUCCUCCUUCGUGACCUUGUUAUUAAUGUUCUUAUAUUUUUAUAUUGUUUUUACGUGUAAAUAUCAAAAAUUAAUUUUAAAAAAUAAAAAAUAUUAUUUUAAUAUAUUUUCAAAUAAAAAUAACCUUUAUAACAUUUUCAAGACAACAUGAAUGAAUGUCGUGACCUUGUUAUUAAUGGAAAUUUGCUUCUUUUUCUAGGACGACAGCUCUUUAUUCUGGGACGACAACAUUAAAGCCAUGGAAUGGAAGGCUAACACACAAAUGGUGCUUUGAAAGUAAUUUAAUAGAGAUAGCUAAUUAACUCCUUUACAGUUUGGACAGGUGUCGCGUUAUUCCUUGCCAGAAACGUGACCAUUUUGCGUUCUUCAAAAAACUUGUUGCCAUAAAGCUAAGUUAAAUGUGCUAGAGCAUUUAAAAAAAAAAAAAAAAAAGGUUUGAUGGAAGAUUUUUCAUUUUUAUAGAAAAACAAUUCUUGGAAAUAUAAAAUUAAAGAGAGGCAUUUAUUAACUGAAAAUAAAAAUUAUUUCUUGAAAACGCAUUUUUCUAAUUCUCCACGUUUGAUGUUUUUAUAGUUAUUUCUUUUUAUUAUUUUGAAUUGUAAGUCAGGCUUUUCUAUAAUAUAUUUUGAAUAUAUUAUAUAUUUAUAGUUAUUUCUUUUUAUUAUUUUGAAUUGUAAGUCAGGCUUUUCUAUAAUAUAUUUUGAAUAUAUUAUAUAUAUAUAAUUCAGCCAGGCCAUGCAUCGUUGUUUAUUGCCUGAGUCUAGACAUCACAUUCAGGGAAAAGGUUUUUUUAUUUUUGUGUUUUAAAAAUAUAUUAUUUUUUGUUUUAAAUUAAUAUAUUUUUAGAUUAUUUUGAAGUGUUGAUGUCAAAAAUAAUUUUUAAAAAAUAAAAAAAUAUAUUAUUUUGAUAUAUUUCAGAGUGAAAAUCACUUUAAAAAACAACAACAAUCAUACUCUCAAACACGCUCUAAACUUCUCACCGAGAUUUUUCCAACAUCACCCACCACGCAUGUAGUGGUUGAAUCAAUUGCUUAGCUCUAGUUGAUUUGUUUUUUCUUUUUUCUUUUUUCUUCCUUACCAAAUAAUACAAAUAUCAUUUCAUUUUUUUUUCAUAAAUUUUUUUCAUUAUUGUUUUGAUUGUUAUUUGGAUUAUUUUUAUACUUUUUUGAUUAAUCUGUUUUUUCAAUUUUUCAUUUAGCUUGGUUGUAUUAAAAUUUCAAUUUUUGUCUUAAUUCUUUUCAUUUUUAUUUGUUUGUUUUUAUCAUGCUCUAAUUUAAAUUUGUUUUUAAUUUCACCCCUUAAUAUUUUAUAUCAAAUUAUUUUUGUUCUAAAUUCAAUCCUCAUUUUUUUAACUGCAUUUCUUUUGUUUCAAAGAGAUUUUUUAUUGUAUUUUUUUUCAAUUUCAUCCCCUGAUAUUUUAUUGAUUUAUAAUUUUGCUUUGUUGUUUUUAAUAUUUAUUUUUUUAUGGUGUUGUUCUUGGACUCAUAAUCAGGAUCACGGGUUUUAAAGGCUAGCACGGGUUGACUUUGGUCUUUUUUGAAGGUUUUUUUUAAUUGAUUUUUUUUAGAUUCUUCCUUGAACAUCUGAUUUACUAGGAAUUGUUUUUCAUGUUUUUUUUUCUUUUAUACUUGAUUGGCACCUUAGUCCAGGUCGACAUGAAUUUAUUUUUUUAUUGAUUUAUUUUAUUUUAUUUUAUUAUUGAUUUCACUAUUGAAUAUUAGAUUUUUUUAUAAUUGAGUUUGAUAAUUUUAUUCAAUUUGUUCUACACAGUGAUUAACCCUAAUUUACCUUUUUUUCUCCUUUAAAUGUGAAAAUCAUUUCUAUUAAAUCCUUAUCUUAACGUCAAAUCUAUAAAUACCGAAAUCAAAGUUAUUGGUAGACAAAUUUCAGCAACCUAAAAGUUUUCUCUCUACUUAUAAUUUUUAGUGAUUUGCUUUUUUUUUUCCUUAAUUUUCAAGGACUACAACAUGAAAAAAAAUAAAAUUUAUGAUUAAAAUGUAAUAAGGUAAAAUAUGCCAAAAUUGAAACUUUAGGGAUGAGACGUGGCUUUUACCUACCUUUUGUGGAAAAGAGUUUUGUUUCUUCCUUUUAUGUAAAUUCCGGUCAAUCAUCUAUCAAUUUAUUUUUUAAUAAAAAAUUAAAACCUGGUUUUGUAAAAAUAAACAUUAAUUUAACGUUGGAAUAUUUAACAAAGCAUCAAGAAAGCUAAAAUGAAAAAAUAAACAAUGAAUGAGUAUUAAAAUGUGGUGUGAACAAUAUUUUUUUGAUCUCUCACGCGAUUAAGUUGAAAUCCCUGGUCAAGUAGAGAAUCAAGUUGGGAUUUUACAAGUUAAAUUGUUGUAUUGAAUUUGAUAAUAUACCCAUGAUUUUUUUUAAUUGGCCCUUUGUUUUUUUUUUCUCUAGCUUUUUUGUAUCUUUUGUUUUUAUUUUUUCAAUCUCAUCAUUUGAUGUUGAUUUUUUAUUAAUUUUAUUAUUUAGUUCUAGGUUGAUUAUGAAUUGGUUUUUGUAUUUUUUAUCAUAUAAUAAGAAAAAUUCAACCCAACAAAGUAAGUGACCCUGGGUUGUAGGUUUUGCGGGUUGAUAAUAGUGUAUAUGACAUGUUUAUUUUUUUAUUUGAUCUUUUCCCUUCGUAUCUACAUAAUAAAUAAGGUUGUGCCGAUGCAACCAAACAUGAUUUAAUUUAAAACCUAAUCUAAACAAUAAAUUAAGUUAAUAUUUUUCAAGUUUAAUAGUUGUUCCAAGUUAAAUGAUAAUAUUUAAAAGAUUUUUAUAUUACUUUGUUAUGUGAAAAAAAGUGAUUCAAGCGCGGUUAAGAAACUAGUCCUAUUCCAGACAAUUUUUUUAUUAUUUUAAUAUGAUGUUUUUAAUUAACAAUUUAUUGGCUACACCUUUAAAUCUAUUAGUUUUUUUAUUAUUAUUAUUAUGUUCCUUGCUCUUUACAAAAACGAUGUUUAGCAAUGUGGGACCAGCUUAAACCCAACUCAUGGAUUUUUGGUCUGAGACUAGGCAGUCGGGUUUUUGUUAUGACAGCAUUCUACGGCACUCGUGUCCCAAUGAGCCGUGGAAAGUAGCAAGCGAGUCAAUUGGUGGGUUAAACACUCGAGACUUUCAGAAGUGGCCAUGUCCAUAGUAAUCGGGGAUUCCCCACUCUAAAACAAAUAUAAAGUGACACCGAAGAAACAACCUAAAAGACAGAGGAGAUAAAAAAGAGGAAAAGUAAAGUAAGGGUAGUUGCAGUAAUGAUUUUACAAGUCCAGGUCUUAAAAAGAAGGUAAUAGAUUACUCAUAUCAUAUCCAAUGAAGGUGGUUUGGCCUGUCUAUUAAAUCGUUUUAUAAAGUAAAACCAAAUAUAUCUGAUCAUGGAAGAGAUAACAAGCACAAAAAAUCUUUCCAUUUCUAGAGAGAGAUAACAGGUUGUUGAUAACCAAAGGUAGAAGAAGAGUUGGUUGCGUGAGAGUUAGCUGAGAAGAAGAGCUGGUUACGUGAGGAUCAGGAUUUCUGUUAGUUAGGAAUUCUAUUAAUUACCUCUUCUUCUCCUUGUAACUGACUCUAACUGCCUUAGCUACAGUUAUAAUAACUAUCAUGACAGGCUGUUAGUUAUGCCAGCUGUCAUGCCAGUCUGCAUUUGUAAUAGACUAUAUAUAUACAUGGUGCGUGCAUGUAUAUAGAUAUUGAGAAGAAAUACAAUCAGUAGAAGAGAAGGAAUUCUCAAAUUGUAUCUUGAUAUCAGAGCAAUAAAGAAGAAACUUCUUUCUUUUCUUCGAUCCAGCCAUGACUUCUGCUUCAAGUCAGUCCUCCUCAACCUCUAGUCCUCUUGGAUCUGGGCAAACCACAAUAAUGGCACUUACUUCAUCUUAUCAGCAGCUCAACCAUGCAUUACCAGUAAAACUUGAUCGAAUCAAUGAUGUUUUGUGGAAAUCUCAAAUUGAUAAUAUUGUUUUUGCUAAUGGUUUUGAGGACUUCAUAGAUGGUACCUUUGUCUGUCCAAAGAAGGAAUUUAGUGCAGGUGUAAUCAAUCCAGCUUUUAUUGCUUGGAGGAGACAAUAUCGCACAAUCCUCGGCUGGAUCUACUCGUCUCUCACACCAGCUAUCAUGGCACAAAUCAUUGGACACACUACUUCUCAGUCUGCUUGGAAUGCAUUGGAGAAAACCUUCUCUUCCUCUUCAAGAGCCAGAAUAAUGCAACUAAAGCUUGAACUGCAAUCCACAAAGAAAGGAUCUCUGUCUAUGAUAGACUAUAUUAUGAAGGUUAAAGGAGCUACAGACAGUCUAGCAGCAAUUGGAGAACCUGUAUUAGAACAAGAUCAAGUCAUGAAUCUACUUGGAGGACUUGGAUCUGACUAUAAUGCAGUAAUAACUGCUAUUAACAUUAGAGAUUAUAAAAUCUCAGUUGAAACUAUUCAUAAUAUGCUUUUAGCAUUUGAAAAUUGACUUGAGCAACAAAGCUCAAUAGAUCAAAUUUCAACAAUGACAGCCAAUUAUGCCUCUUCCUCUAAUAACAGGGGUGGUGAAAGGAAAUAUAAUGGCAAUAGAGGGCAAAGCUAUAUAAGCUACACUCCAAAUGCCAGCAAUUACAACUACAGAGGUCGUGGUCGUGGGGGCAGAUACACACAGAAUGGAAGACAUAAUUCAUUUAGUUCAGAGAAGCCAUAAUGUUAGUUAUGUGGAAAAUUUGGCCAUAUAGUACACGUCUGCUAUCACAGAUUUGAUAUCUCCUAUUAAAACUCUUCAAACAGUGGUACUAACUCUUUGAAUAUGAAUUUCAGAAAUCAAAACAAUAUACCUAUUAUGGUUGCCUCCUCUAAUAAUCUUGCAGAUGACAAUUGGUACCUUGAUUUUGGAGCACGUCAUCACCUGACUCAGAAUGUGGAGAAUCUAACCAACUCUACUCCAUACACAGGCACAUAUAAGGUCACAGUUGGUAAUGGUUAGUACUUAUCCAUUUCCAACACUGGUUCCCAUCGUCUAGUCUUUAACUCACGAUCAUUUCAACUCAGAAAGGUGUUUCAUGUUCCAUUCAUCUCAGCAAACUUGUAGGUGUUGCCAAGUUCUGCUUAUAUAAUAAUGUUUUGAUUGAAUUUCGGUCUAAUAGUUUCUUUGUGAAGGAUCUGCAUACGAAAAAGAUACUGGCACAAGGCAGACUUGAGAAUGGACUUUACAGGUUUCCAGCACUGAACAACAAGUAAAUGACAUAUGUUGGCAUUAAAAAUUUCUCUGUUUUUCAUUCUCUAAGCUCCAGAUCUACUCAUAAUAAAAUGAAAAUAUGGCAUCACAGACUAGGUCAUGCUGUCACUGAUGUUGUAGUCCAAAUAUUACAAAGCUGUAAUGUUUCCUAUGAAAAUAAUAAAGUUGUUAGUUGCUCGACUAUAUGUUUUUCCUGUCAACUUGCGAAAAGUCACAGAUUGCCUACUCGUCUCUCCUUCUCUCGUGCUUCCAAACUGUUGGAAUUGAUUCAUAUGGACAUCUGGGGGCCUGCCUCAAUCAAUUCCACAUCUAGUGCUAAGUAUUUUAUCCUGUUAUUGGAUGAUUUCUCACGAUACACGUGGUUUUACCCUUUACACACAAAGGACCAAGCUCUUCUAAUGUUUAAACAAUUCAAACUUCAAGUGGAGAAUCAAUUUGAUGACAGUAUAAAAUAUAUGCAGUCUGGCAAUGGGGGUGAGUUCAAAUCCUUCAUAACCUUUCUUCAACAUGCUGGUAUUGUGCAUUGUUUUUCCUGCCCUUAUAAUUCAGCUCAAAAUGGGAGAGUUGAGAGGAAGCAUAGACAUGUUGUAGAGACUGGAUUGGCCUUGCUAACUCAUGCUUCUUUGCCAAUGAAGUUCUAGUAGUAUGCAUUUCAAUCAGCAACAUUCCUCAUUAAUAGAAUGCCAAGCAAGGUACUCAACAAUGAUUCACCUUAUCUAACUUUGUUUCAUAAACUCUUGAUUACAAGUCCUUCAGAGUAUUUGGUUGCCUAUGUUAUCCUUUCAUUCGCCCUUAUAACAACCAUAAACUACAAUAUCGGUCGGUUCAAUGUAUAUUUCUUGGUUAUAACCUCAACAACAAAGGUUAUUUGUGCCUUGAUUAUCUCACUAGACGAGUCUAUGUCACACCUUAUGUUGUUUUUUUAUGAAACACAAUUCCAUUUCAAUAAAAACCUUCCUCUACCUCAGACUGAUGAUGUUUCCUUAGCAAGUUUCCCCCCUGCAAUACUAUCCUCCUCUAGUUGUUUGCCUUACUGCCCUAUUGAUAAACAUACCUCAAUGUCCAUUGAUGUCAUUCCCAUAAAUGCAUAUUCUCUUUCUUUGAGUGAAUCUGCAACCUCCCCAAUCUUUCAUUCUUCUCCUGAGUCUGGUCAUAAUGAUCAACCUCCUGAGUCAAGUCCAGGUCCACGCAUGAUAACAAGGUUGAUGAGUGGUAUAACUAAAAAGAAGGUCAUUCUUGAUCUAGCUGUUGUGAAGAUAUUCGAACCAUAUACACUCAGUCAAGCUCUAAAAGAUCCACAUUGGACUCAAGUAAUGGAUCAAGAGAUUGCAGCUCUUCAUCGAAACCACACAUGGGAUCUUGUUGCCAAGCCUUCUGAUGUAAAUAUCAUAGGUUGCAAGUGGGUAUACAAAUUGAAGCAUAAGCUAGAUGGGAGUAUUGACAGGUAUAAAGCUAGACUUGUGGCAAAAGAAUAUCAUCAAACACUUAACCUUGAUUAUUUCGAGAAUUUUAGCCCAGUAGUCAAAGCUACAACUAUCCGUAUUAUACUAAGCAUUGCUCUUAGUUUUAAUUGGGAAGUACGACAACAAGAUGUACACAAUGCUUUCCUAAAUGGUGAGCUCGAGGAACAAGUCUACAUGUCCCAACCUUCUGGCUACGUGGACACCAAGUUUCCUACCAAAGUUCGUCGAUUGAGGAAAGCUUUAUAUGGCUUGAAACAAGCUCCACGAGCUUGGUUUUAAAGGCUCAGUUCUGCCCUUUUACAGUGGGGGUUCAGCAACUUCAUGACUGACAGCUCUAUGUUUCUAUGCUUUGGUGAAUCUACAACUUUGAUUGUUCUCAUCUAUGUAGAUGAUAUCCUCAUCACUGGCAACUCACCUACAUAGGUUGCUUCACUUGUUGCUAAACUGAAUUUUGUGUUUGCAUUGCGAGAUUUGGGGAGGCUGACCUAUUUCCUAGGUAUUGAAGUCUCUUACCAUGAGGGUUCUAUAUAUCUCAGCCAAACCAAAUAUGUCUCCGAUUUACUGCAUAGAACAGCAAUUUUUGAUACAAAACUAGUCAAAACUCCUGGGGUUGUUGGACAGAAUUUAUCUAAAUUUGAUGGUGAGCCUCUAGAAGAUGCUUCUCAUUAUCGCAGUAUAGUGGGAGCACUUCAAUAUCUCACGAUUACAAGGCCUGACAUAGCUUUCACUGUUAAUAAAGCAUGUCAGUUUAAACAACAACCAACUUCAGCUCAUUGGCUCUCUGUCAAAAGAAUAUUUCGAUACCUACGAGGGACUAUGCAUGAUGGCUUACUUUUAAAUUCAUCAAAUCAAUUGACAAUAAAAAGUUUCACAUAUGCUGAUUGGGGUGCUCAACCUGACGAUCGACGAAUUGCAAGUGGCUAUCUCAUUUAUCUAGGGGGCAAUCUAAUUUCUUGGUCUUUUACCAAGCAAAAACUAGUAUCUCGCAGCAAUGCAGAAUCGGAGUAUAGAGGUCUUGUCCUGGCUAUGACAAAAAUUAUCUAGAUCCAAGCCUUGCUGCAAGAACUAUGUGUUCCUACCCCUAUUGUUCCUAUACUCUGGUAUGACAAUAUCAGUGUGAUGUUUUGAAUAAAUGAGUAGGAAAAUACAAUAAAGUCCUUGAAUGCUUAGAUGUAGGAAUAAAUUAAAUGAGGGGUAUUGUAGUAAUUGUAUAAGAGAUGAUAUAUAUAAAUAGAAGGAAAAAAAACAAAAGAAGAGAUCUGAAUAUUUUGAGUGAAAAACCGUGAGAGAGAAGGGAGAAGGGAGAAGGGAGAAAGAAGAAGAAGAAGAGAAAAGAGGGAAAUUAGAAAGGAAAUAGAAAGGAGUUGGAGGAAAUAAGUAAAAAUGUAAGAUUUAGGUUGUUAAAUGUAUAAAUUUGUAUUAUUGAGCUUUUAAUUUUGGUUUUGAUAAAUGUUAGGGUUUUGAAAAUUUGUGUUUUGGGUUUAAUUGAUGAAUUAAAUUGAAUGUUAUAAGGUUGAUUGUUAUGGGUAAUUGAUUAAUAAGUUGAUUAUGGAAGAUUGUGAUGAUUUUGAGUUAUGAAUUGUGUAAAUGGUGAAUGUUGAGUUAUAAAUUUGGCAAGAACAGUAGGUAAUCUGUUAAAAUUCUGGAUUGGAGGUUGAAGAUGAUGAAAAUUCAAUUUGGUCCCUCAAUUUUGGAAAAUUACAGUUUAGUCCCCAAACUUUGGAAAAUUUGCAGAUUGGUCCCUGGAGCCUAUUCCGAGAUUCUGAACAGAAUAACAUAUGAAUUAUGGACAGAAUUACUGUAUAGAUAAGAGAAUUUAACACUUUCAAUUUAGUCCUCCAAUUUGACAAAAUUACAAUUUGACCCUAAAAAUUUGGAUAAAUUACAGAUUAUUCCCUAGCUGUAAUAUUAGCUUUUGCAGAUUAGUUUGAUGAAUAAUUAAGGGUUAUUUAGUGAAUUAUUGCCAAUUUUAUUAGUUGUUUUAUUAUGGAUUAGAUUUCGGAAAAACCGUUAAAUUUUGGGUUUUUGAGAAAAUUGAUUAGUUAGUUCAAAAACAUAUAGGGUUACGGAAUACAUCAUUAGUUAAGUUUAUUAAAUAGGUUAAAUGUUCUUUCGAGUCGUUCUUAAAUAUGUCUCCUUUAUAUUCAGAUAAUCCUGAUAUUCUACCGGCGGGACGUCAGUAGGAUUUUCUUCGGUGUCUGCUUUUGGCUUCUGUUUGCUUUUGAGUCAGGUGAGUGAAUAAUUUUCCAUAUGCAUGAGAAAUAGUAUAAAUAUUUGAUUUGUUAAUAUGAAUUGAAUCAUGCUUCUUGAUAAUAUAUAUGUUGAUUAUUAUCCUUAUUUUGAUAAAGCAUGAUCAAUUAUUGAAUCUGAAUUCUUGAUAUGAACCAGUAUAUAUUUUGAAUUGAAUUCUGAAUUGAUAGCUCCUCAUUUGAUUGAUGUCAUGAGUUGAGCCUUGAGAUAUGAAUAUGUCUGUUUGAUUAUGAUUAUGAACCUAUGGUAUGUCAGUCAGAAUACCCAUGCUAACAGGGUAGUGUUAGUCUUUGUGCACAUCGUAUCUGAACCCUAGUUGGUCGGGGGAGUCACCAACCUGUGUGGACUGAUCAUCCCACAGUACGGAGCCUCAUGCUCAUUGCAUUUUGAUUUUCUGACGAGUUUUACCAUAUGAUCUUCUUGUUAUGGCCAAUUUGAGAACACUUCCAUAAGAACCUAAAGCCAAUUGUAUAUAUAUUUCUCAUUGCUGUAUUACCUCGUGUGUGUAUAUUGAACGUUAUCUACUCACUGAGUUGUUGAACUCACCAUCUCAUUAUUUAUCCUUUUCAGGCUUAUAGCUUGAUAGCAGGUCAUUUUGUUGGACCUUCAGAACCUGCUUUUUGGUUGUACUUUGUACCUUUCCUUUAUGUCUAGUUAGUGCUCCAAAACUCUGAACUUAUAUAAACUCUUGUAUUAAGACAAUUCAAUUAUAUUAUGAAGUUGAUUUUGUUAUUAAUGCUGCAUUGAACUCUAAUUGAGUUAGGAUAAGUUUGUGUGUAAAUUUGGGUUCGUAUAGGUAUGGAACCUUGGAGGGGAACUUUGCCUAUGUGCCGGUCAUGGAUCCGGGGAUCGGGUCGUGACAAUCAGUGCCUAUCAUAUGGCCAAGAAUUUUGUAUUUCAUGCCCGAACAAAACAUAUAGAAAUUAAUCUACACUUCAUUCGUGACCAAGUUCUCAGAGGGAAAAUACUACAGUUACUUUUUGUUCCCACUGAAGAACAACUAGCAAAUCUUUUGACUAAACAUCUCACAAGCUCAAGGUUCUUGUUUCUCAUAACACAGUUGUGCCUUGUCCCAGACCCUUUCACUUGCGGGGGGUGAUAAACCAAAGGUAGAAGAAGAGUUGGUUAUGUGAAAGUUAGCUGAGAAGAAGAGCUUGUUACGUGAGGAUUAGGAUUUCUGUUAGUUAGGAAUUUUAUUACUUACCUCUUUUUCUACUUGUAACUUACUCUAAUUGCCUUAGCUGCAAUUAUAAUAACUGUCAUGAUAGGCUGUUAGUUAUGCCAGCUGUCAUGCCAUUCUGUAUUUGUAACAGAUAUAUGGUGCGUGUAUGAAUAAAGAUAUUGAGAAGAAAUACAAUAAGUAGAAGAGAAGGAAUUCUCAAAUUGUAUCUUGAGAAAUUAAGACAAAUAAAUCGUGGUCUGAAUGUUGUUAUUAAUUAACUAGAUUCUUUUGUUUUUCAGUGCCUUACAUGGAAGCGUAUCUACUUGCCCUUUGAUUCCAUUUCUGCUACCUACUACCUACUACCCCUUUUCAGUUUUCUGAACUCGUGUCUGACGUGUUCUCUCUCUAUUUAAAUCUCUCUUUGUCUCUAUCUUAUGUCUGUGUUUAGAGUAUAUUCUUGAAUACUGUUAGCAAGGGUAAAAGGAGCCUCUGUUGCAAUAGUUCUUGGUAACUACCUGUCAUGUCUUGCAUUCGUCCCUGGUUCUGCCCUUCUUCUAUAUCAGGUUCUCUUUCUUGAACUUUUAUGGGGUUUUGGCUAUCUGGACAGUGCAACUAUGCAUUCAAAUUUCUUUUUUUAUUUAUUUUUGUUGAUUCUGUUGCUGUGCUUCUUAUGUUGUAGAAUUUCGUUUCACUAUGUCUUAUUUGAAAUCUUUAUGAAUUUAUACAUUGCACGCAUGCUUACCGGGGAAUGAAAUAACGUCAGUCAUCUCUGGUUAUCGAGUUAUUGUCGGUUAGAACUCGGAAGAAAGAAAUGAAAGUGCUAUUACAGAGAGCAUACUUUGUUUUAUGUUCUUAAUAAUUGGUAUUUGAUUAUUCUAACAAGGUUGAUUAUUUGAUUUUAUUUUUCGACCAUUCAUUUGGCACUCGCGGUUUUUUUCCCCUGGAUGCAUUCUCAAAUCUGUAAUUUUUCUAUAAUUCAUCAUGAAUAACCUGACUUGGCUUUCUUUCCCUUUGGCCAAUCUUCCUUUUGUGAAGCAACCCUGACAGACCCUGCAUCAAAAUUAGUCACAGGAGAAUUCAAGACAACCAGUCUGGUACCUGAUACUGCAACUCUUUGGAAUUGUUCCAUCUAUUCUAUGAGAAAUUAAAGGAUUGAACAUUGCUCUCAUUGAUUUUCCAUUUUUAAUCAUGCAGAACUUUCAUGGAACUAAGGAAAGGAUCAAGAAGAUGUUUGAUAAGAUUGAAUUGUCAGUGUCUUCAUAUGACACUGCUUGGGUGGCAAUGGUCCCAUCUCCAGAUUGUCCGGAAACUCCUUGUUUUCCAGAGUGCACAAAAUGGAUUUUGGAAAAUCAACUUGGUGAUGGCUCCUGGAGUCUUCCUCAUGGCAAUCCAUUAUUAGUUAAGGAUGCUCUUUCAUCUACAUUAGCGUGCAUCCUUGCAUUGAAGCGAUGGGGUAUCGGUGAAGAACAAAUAAAUAAAGGUACUGUUUUAAGUUAUAGCAAGAGUUUAGCAAUUAUUCUUAGGUGACCAAAUUGCAUGAUUAAGCAAUGAGAUAUUUGAGCUGGAUAAAUACUCUCUCCCUUGUUGCAGGCCUUCGAUUUAUUGAGUUGAAUUCCGCUUCAGUUACGGAUAACGAGCAACAUAAACCAAUUGGAUUUGAUAUAAUAUUUCCUGGCAUGAUUGAAUAUGCCAAAGAUUUGGAUUUGAACCUCCCUUUGAAGCCGACAGAUAUAAAUUCCAUGCUCCACAGGAGGGCUUUGGAGCUUACAAGGUGAAAUUCUAUCUUCCGUAUUUGCUAUUUUGGUCCACGUCUAUGUUCAUAAAGCUUCUUUUCAAAAGAAUGAUACCAAACUUCAAAAAUGAACAAAUUGGCUUUGCCAAGUUGGGAAGGAUCAGACUGUUCAAGCUCAGUCAGCCCCUGCCUUGAAACUGGGGUUGGCUGGCUCAGCUCUGCUUAAUGGAGCUGUUUACUGCUCUCUAGGAGCAAGGUCUAGAACAAGGUUUCACUUCUUGAAAUUCUACAAGUGCACUAUAAAUAUUUUCCAUAAAAUGCGUGGAGCCUGUGGAGUGAUCCCAAAUGUUAGAAAUACGUUGUCAUUUCUAAAGUGUAAUACAUCAUAUUGGAAUGGCCUGGUUUUCAUUUGGAGUCUAUAUAUGUAGUGGCGGUGGCAAGAACUUGGAGGGAAGAAGAGCCUACUUAGCAUAUGUUUCGGAAGGAAUUGGAAAAUUACAGGAUUGGGAAAUGGCCAUGAAAUAUCAAAGAAAGAAUGGAUCACUGUUCAAUUCACCAUCCACCACAGCAGCUGCCUUUAUUCAUAUUCAAGAUGCUGAGUGUCUCCAUUAUAUUCGUUCACUCUUACAGAAGUUUGGGAAUGCAGGUCCAGCCACGUAACUCUAAAUGUGCUAUCUAUAGCGUCACAUCUCUCUGGUAUCUAGUUAUUGACUUUCUAUUGAUUUCUUCAGUUCCAACCAUUUAUCCUUUGGAUAUAUAUGCUCGUCUUUCUAUGGUUGAUGCUCUUGAAAGGUUGGGAAUCGAUCGGCAUUUUAGGAAGGAAAGAAAAUUUGUUUUGGACGAAACAUACCGGUAAUGUACCAUUUUCAUUUUGCAAAUGCAAUACCACUGUGUUGUAGAUGCAAGCAACUUUCUAGAUAACUGAAUUCAUCUCUAUGUUUUAACAAAACUCUUCACUAAAGUUCUGGUUAACUUAUUAUACCAUGAUUAGAUACUAUUGUUGUAACUUUAAACCUUGACAUUAGCAAACAAACAGAUUUUGGUUGCAGGGGGAGGAAGAGAUAUUUUCUGAUAAUGCCACUUGUGCUUUGGCAUUUAGGAUAUUACGUUUGAACGGAUAUGAUGUCUCUCUAGGUAUCUUCUUUAGAUAGGAGAUUUCAUGUUUGGAUUUUUGAGGAUGUUUUAAUCAGUAUAGCUUUAAUAGGGUUAACAUUUGGUGUAGAUACACUAAACCAAUUUUCAGAAGAUCAUUUCUCUAAUUCACUGGGAGGAUAUUUGAAGGAUUCGGGAGCUGCCUUAGAGUUGUACAGAGCUCUGCAGCUAAGUUAUCCAGAUGAAUCACUUCUGGAAAAACAAAAUUCUCGGACAAGCUAUUUCCUGAAACAGGGAUUAUCCAACGUUUCACUUUGUGGAGAUAGGCUUCGUAAAAAUAUUAUCGGAGAGGUACUUUCGUUUUUCCCCUUAUUGUCAAAUCCCUGAGAACAGCCUUUUUCAGUUCCAUUGAAAUUCCUAACUUCAGGUAUUUUCCUCCACUUCAGGUGCAUGAUGCUCUCAAUUUUCCUGACCAUGCAAAUUUGCAACGCUUAGCUAUCAGAGGAAGAAUUAAACAUUAUGCUACAGAUGAUACGAGGAUUUUGAAAACUUCGUAUCGGUACAUCUUGAUUAGUUGAAGAAAUUUUUUAAUUUGACUGGUGAAAUAUAUGUUCUUACUUGUACUUUUACUCUUCAUGUCAUAGUUGUUCGACUAUUGGUAACCAGGAUUUUCUCAAAUUGGCUGUAGAAGAUUUCAAUAUCUGCCAAUCAAUACAGCGUGAAGAACUUAAACAUAUCGAGAGGUGCGUUAAGCUUUGGACCAUGACUUGGUGGCCUUCAUUGAAUAUACAUCGAGAGCAGGAUAUAUUGAGCACAAAGCUAGCUUUGUUGCAUUCACCCCCCUUUGUCUCUUUCCCUUUUCAAGAUGGAAUCGCAGCUUUUGCUGGAGCUACUCAUCACUAGUGUUGCGACUUUACUUUGAUCUCAAUCUCAUUGGAGUUCUUAAAUUUUUCAAUCAAAGAUCCAAAUGUCCUUAACAUGGACUAAAUGAUUAGCUAGCUCAGAGCAUUUAGUUAACUGUUUGGCACUUCAAAUAUUACUUGUUUAUAGCAAGAUACCUGUCAUGUAAACAGGUGGGUUGUAGAGAGGAGACUGGACAAGCUAAAGUUUGCUAGGCAGAAGGAGGCCUACUGUUACUUCUCUGCUGCAGCAACUCUCUUCGCUCCAGAACUAUCUGAUGCACGCAUGUCAUGGGCAAAAAAUAGUGUGCUUGCUACUGUUGUUGAUGACUUCUUUGAUGUUGGUGGUUCUGAAGAAGAACUGGUAAACCUUAUUGAAUUGAUUGAGAGGUAUGUUUCGUUUCCCCUUUCAGUUUCUUCACUUUCUAGAUGAUUCUCCUCUGUUCAAGUUACGAUUUAUUUCUAAUGGAAUGCAGGUGGGAUGUCAAUGGCAGUGCUGAUUUUUGUUCUGAGAAAGUUGAGAUCAUAUAUUCGGCAAUUCACAGCACUAUAAGUGAGAUAGGAGAAAAAUCUUUCGGAUGGCAAGGACGCGAUGUGAAAAGCCAUGUUAUCAAGAUUGUAAGACGAAUUCCUACUGAAUUAUUAUAAUAUUGUUACCACCAUAUUAUCAAAAUUGAAACGAGACAAUUUUUGACGGUUCAGUUUUGCAUUACAGUGGUUGGAUUUGCUCAAAUCUAUGUUGACAGAAGCACAAUGGUCAAGUAACAAAUCAGUGCCAACCCUUGAUGAAUAUAUGACAACUGCACAUGUAUCAUCUGCUUUAGGGCCUAUUGUCCUUCCAGCUCUCUAUUUUGUGGGGCCUAAGCUUUCAGAGGAGGUUGCUGGACAUCCUGAAUUGCUUAAUCUAUACAAGGUUACGAGCACUUGCGGGCGUCUGCUCAAUGACUGGAGAAGCUUUAAGGUGGAUGGUUCUUCUCAAGGGAUAUAAAAUGAGAUGUUAUCGGUCUCAUGUCUGAUAUUUACUUGUUUGGUUGCUAACUUUGUUUUGCUUUUUGCAGAGAGAAUCUGAAGAAGGGAAAUUGAAUGCCAUCUCAUUGUACAUGAUUCACAGCGGUGGUGCUUCAACUGAAGAAGAGACCAUUGAACAUUUUAAAGGAUUGAUCGACAGCCAGAGAAGACAAUUGCUUCAAUUAGUUUUGCAGGAAAAGGAUAGUAUAAUUCCUAGACCCUGCAAGGAUUUGUUUUGGAACAUGAUAAAACUAUUGCACACGUUCUACAUGAAGGAUGAUGGAUUCACUUCAAACGAGAUGAGAAAUGUUGUCAAGGCAAUAAUAAAUGAACCCAUCUCUCUAGAUGAAUUAUAAGCAAAUGCUAUGAAACAUGUGAAUCCUACCUACUUUUCUGAAUUUCUCAAACCAGCAGCAAGGUAUCAGUCAUUGUUGUUUAUGAAUGCUCAUGUUUUUCUCCGGCACUGCAUGUGAUUGUGGCCAGGCUUCGUUGAUAUCACUCCGUAGCAUGUAUCUGGGAACCACGCUGGGAGAUAACACCUACUUGAUUUAAAGCACGCCUUUCAAUUUUUCCUUGAUCAUUCAAAUAUCAGCCUACCAUUGCCACGUGGAUUGCUAAAUCAAAAGUAUACAAACAAUUCUUGUCCACUCACCAUGCAUAAAAAAACAAGGAAUUAUUUGUUUGAAGACCAGAGCGCAAAAUUGCUUAACUAAUCCAUCAAAUUCUCUUACACUUAAAUAGUACAACUGGUAAAAUACAGGCAGGUGAUUGCUCUCAUGCCUGGCAACAAGAGGCAAAGAUCAUCAAGGCACUUCAGGUAUUCCCAGCAGAAACCGCCUAUGACUUUCACAACAGAGCCCAUGUAAAUUGGCAAAGCUCCUUCAAGAUUCGUGCAGUUCAAUUAAACGCUAUU
rnacentral:lncRNA from 1 species